UGUUGUCCAUUUAAAUGAGCCGACGUUAAUUCAAACGCCUCGGUGUUUGCGUGUUUGAGAGGAUAACUGGGCGUGGCUUCACCCGGUGCGGGUCCUUUUAGUGAGGAAAACUGGGCGUGGCUACACCCGGUGCAGGUCCUUUUAGUGUCUACUCGUUCUUGCCUCAGGUUGCCCGCUACCGAUCUCCGCAGAAUUUAACGGCAGAACUCGCCAUGUCGUCAGACGAAGGGAAGCUAUUUGUCGGUGGUAUCAGUUUUGACACAACUGAACAGUCACUCGAAGACGUAUUUUCCAAAUAUGGUCCCAUCAGUGAAGUUGUUAUCAUCAAGCACAGGGAGACGCAGAGGUCCAGAGGCUUCGGCUUUAUCACCUUUGAGAAUCCCGAAGAUGCUAAGGAUGCUAUGAUCGCCAUGAAUGGAAAGUCCCUGGACGGUAGGCCGAUUCGCGUGGAUCAAGCCGGAAACUCCGGUGGUGGAAGUCGUUCCGGCGGAUACAGGGGAGGCAACAGCGGCGGCGGCGGCGGUGACGGCGGCGGCUACAGGGGGGGACGUGGUGGCGGAGGAGGACGUGGACGUGGAUUCUCGUAUGGCAGUGGUGGUGGAGACAGAAGCUACAGUGGUGGUGGAGGUGGUGGAAGAGCACAAGGUGGCGGAUACGGUGAACGCUCAGGAGGAUUCGGUGCUGUGGUCACUGACGCCCACUGAGGCCACCUGUAGUUGAAAUUUGUUGGAAGAAACAAUAUGUUGACGGUCCAGUUUAGCACUACUGCUGAGUGGGUGCUAAGGUAGGCUGUCUGCAGUCUGCAGCGACCGGCCGUGUUGAGUUACCCAAUACCCAGGGUUCCUUACGAUGGUGACGAUGGUGGUUGGUAGCUCAGCUAAGUGGGUGUCGGUCUCCUAGGCAACACCCAUGUUCGACCCCUCCCGCCCGCUCUCCCCCCCCCCCCCCCCCCAACCCUUUCUCGCCUGCAACCCCCAUUUGAAUGACAGCGGACCUAGCUGGAAAUUCCGUUCUAGCGCAUCGACGAAAGAAAAAAACGAAACCAAUUCCAUAGAUAAAGAGCAGUCCUGGAUGAGUUCAGGGGAAGGUUGGCUCCCACGUCGAGCCGUCCUCACAGGUCCUUCUCCAAGUUUUUAUAACUUUUUUUUUUUUCUUCUUUUUGUUCCCAUCAGGCAGUCUCAUUUUUCUAAUUGAUCUUAAUAGAACACGUUUUAUGUUAUGCCUCAAUUUAUAUUAAAAAGAACAUGUUUUGAGUUAUGCGUCACUUUAUAGCGUUUGGUCUCCCAUGGCCCGGGCCCAGUCACACAUUGGUUCAGGCAGAGACGAGAGCCUUGGUGGGGAGGGAAUAUAUCUCGGCUGAAGAAUUGUCAUCUGUUAGGUGGUUUUCGUAGCGCCCAUGGUCUCCCUAAUGAAGAAGGGGAAUACAUCACUGUCCUUGUUUGCACUUUCUGUGCAAGGGAAUACAAGAGGACGAGGAAAUAAAUACGCUCUUAAAGACUUUUUUUUAUUUUCUUAAUAGUCCAGUAAGUUCUUGCACUGGUUAAUUUGGUCACUGUCCUUCUUGGUUAGUUCUGUUACUUCUUGACUCGUCUGGAAAAUACACGAGUUUUAAUGUUCUCAUCAAUGCAUUUUUUUGUGCAUGCUUACAUUUUGUUUAUUUUUCCAAAAUAAAAUCCCUCAUAAAUGUUU